rnacentral:rRNA from 1 species
GAUGAACGCUAGCGAUAGGCCUAACACAUGCAAGUCGAGGGGCAUCACAUGAAGUAGCAAUACGGAUGGUGGCGACCGGCGCACGGGUGAGUAACACGUAUGCAACCUGCCUUCAACAAGGGGAUAACCCGUUGAAAGACGGACUAAUACCCUAUAACACAGGGGUCCCGCAUGGGAAUAUUUGUUAAAGGACAACCGGUUGAAGAUGGGCAUGCGUUCCAUUAGCUAGUUGGCGGGUAAGGCCCACAAGGCAACGAUGGAUAGGGGAACUGAGAGGUUUAUCCCCCACACUGGUACUGAGACACGGACCAGACUCCUACGGGAGGCAGCAGUGAGGAAUAUUGGUCAAUGGACGCAAGUCUGAACCAGCCACGUCGCGUGAAGGAAGACGGCCCUACGGGUUGUAAACUUCUUUUAUACGGGAAUAAAGUGCCCCACGCGUGGGGUUUUGCAUGUACCGUAUGAAUAAGGAUCGGCUAACUCGUGCCACAGCCGCGGUAAUU